GAAUAUCCCUUUUGAGCUUGCUUG
rnacentral:piRNA from 1 species